rnacentral:rRNA from 1 species
UACGUAGGGACCAAGCGUUGUUCGGAUUUACUGGGCGUAAAGGGCGCGUAGGCGGCAAUUCAAGUCAUCUGUGAAAUCUCCGGGCUUAACUCGGAACGGUCAGAUGAUACUGCUUUGCUAGAGUGCAGAAGGGGCAAUCGGAAUUCUUGGUGUAGCGGUGAAAUGCGUAGAUAUCAAGAGGAACACCUGAGGUGAAGACGGGUUGCUGGGCUGACACUGACGCUGAGGCGCGAAAGCCAGGGAGGCAAACGGG